UCAAGCUAUAAAGAGCGCAAGGGGAAUGCCUUGGCAUCAGGAGCCGAAGAAGGACGUGACAAGCUGCGAUAAGCUUCGGGGAGGAGCAAAUAUCCGUUGAUCCGGAGAUUUCCGAAUGGGGAAACCCACCAGAGCAAUACUCUGGUAUCGUGCGUUGAAUAAAAUAGGCGUACGAAGGGAACGCCCUGAACUGAAACAUCUAAGUAGGGGCAGGAAAAGACAUCAACCGAGAUUCCGCAAGUAGUGGCGAGCGAACGCGGAGGAGGCCAAACCGGUGGAUUUAUUCACCGGGGUUCGGACUGGCAUCACGAUCAGAGGUAUCUAGAAGAACGGCAUGGGAAGGCCGGCCAUAGAGGGUGAGAGCCCCGUAUUUGAAAGAGAAGACUGACAGCCAGUAUCCAGAGUACCGCGGGACACGUGAAACCCCGUGGGAAGAUGGGUGGACCACCAUCCAAGCCUAAAUACUACCUGAUGACCGAUAGAGGAGCAGUACCGUGAGGGAAAGGUGAAAAGGACCCCGGGAGGGGAGUGAAAGAGAACCUGAAACCUUGUGCUUACAAGCACUCAAAGCACGUUAAAGUGUGAUGAGGUACUUUUUGUAGAACGGUCCGGCGAGUUAUAGUAACGAGCAAGCUUAAGGUAUUCAGUACCGGAGGCGAAGCGAGAGCGAGUCUGAAUAGGGCGCAUAAAGUUCGUUGCCAUAGACCCGAAACCGGGUGACCUAACCAUGAGCAGGCUGAAGUGAGAGUAAAAUCUCAUGGAGGGCCGAACGCACGUUCGUUGCAAUGACCGGCGAUGACUUGUGGUUAGCGGAGAAAUUCCAAUCGAACUCGGAGAUAGCUGGUUCUCCCCGAAAUAGCUUUAGGGCUAGCGUUGAUUUAGAUUACCGGAGGUAAAGCACUGAAUGGGCUAGGGGGCGAUAAGCUUACUGAACCCUAUCAAACUCUGAAUGCCGGCUAAUUGAUGAUCAGCAGUCAGACAGUGUGAGAUAAGUUUCAUUGUCAAAAGGGAAACAGCCCAGACCUACAGCUAAGGUCCCAAAUGUAUGCUAAGUGGAAAACGAUGUGGAGUUGCGAAAACAACCAGGAUGUUGGCUUAGAAGCAGCCAUUCAUUAAAAGAGUUCGUAAUAGAUCACUGGUCGAGUGACUCUGCGCGGAAAAUAUAACGGGGCUAAGUAUGCAACCGAAGCUUAGGAUGUCCGCAAGGGCGUGGUAGGGGAGCGUCGUGUACGGGGUGAAGUCGCAGCGGAAGCAGCGGUGGACUGUACAGGAGUGAGAAUGCCGGAAUGAGUAGCGAGAAUUAUGUGGGAAUCAUAAUGGCCGAAAAUCUAAGGUUUCUUGGGGAAGGUUCGUCCGCCCAAGGUAAGCCGGGAGCUAAGGCGAGGCCGCGAGGCGUAGUCGAUGCACAUACGGUAGAAAUUCCGUAGCCACCGAACUUUAAACCAGAAGGACACUUUCAGAUAGCGGGACCCAGCCGUUGGUAGAGCUGGGCGCAAGGGACCGAAAUAUAGUAGGGAAGUCCGCGAUGCUGGGAGGCGAGAAAAGCUCUGGUGUACACUAAGGUGCCCGUACCGCAAACCGACACAGGUAGAUGAGGAGAGAAUCCUAAGGCCAACGGGAGAAGGGUUGUUAAGGAACUCGGCAAAUUGACCCCGUAACUUCGGAAGAAGGGGAGCCUCGAAAGAGGCCGCAGUGAAUAGGCCCAAGCAACUGUUUACCAAAAACACAGGUCUAUGCUAAAUCGAAAGAUGACGUAUAUGGGCUGACGCCUGCCCGGUGCCGGAAGGUUAAGAGGAGAGCUUAGCGCAAGCGAAGGUUUGAAUUGAAGCCCCGGUAAACGGCGGCCGUAACUAUAACGGUCCUAAGGUAGCGAAAUUCCUUGUCAGGUAAGUUCUGACCCGCACGAAUGGCGUAACGAUUUGGGCACUGUCUCAACAGCCCGCCCGGCGAAAUUGUAGUACCGGUGAAGAU
rnacentral:rRNA from 1 species